AGAUGUAAGGGUGAUCUGGCUGUGACAUCUGUCACCCAGCUGAUUGCCAGGGAUGAUCUGGCUGAUCUGGCUGGCUAGACGGGUGUCCCCUUCUGCCUCCCACUCAGUGUGCAUCCUCUCCUUUAAAGCUGCAUGUUGUCGAAGAAGACAGUCUCUCCCUAUAGAGGAGGACCAUUCUCCUGCAGGGUAUGUGAGUAGCCAUGCUCCCCUGCUAGAACCUACAAACAAGCUCUCAAGGUCCAUUUUUGCUUGUUAUUAUAUCCCUUGCCCCUAAAAAAAGUGCCUGACAACAAGUAAAUACUUGUUAAAUGA
rnacentral:sRNA from 1 species